GUGAGGAAUUUUCCGCAAUGGGCGAAAGCCUGACGGGGCAAUGCCGCGUGAAGGAUGAAGGCCUAUGGGUUGUAAACUUCUUUUCUCAGAAAAGAAUUAUGACGGUAUCUGAGGAAUAAGCAUCGGCUAACUCUGUGCCAGCAGCCGCGGUAAGACAGAGGAUGCAAGCGUUAUCCGGAAUGAUUGGGCGUAAAGCGUCUGUAGGUUGUUUAAAAAGUAUUCUGUCAAAGAUUAGGGCUUAACCCUAGAUAGGCAGAAUAAACUUUUAAGCUAGAGUUUGGUAGAGGCAGAGGGAAUUCCCGGUGGAGCGGUGAAAUGCGUAGAUAUCGGGAGGAACACCAAAGGCGAAGGCACUCUGCUGGGCCAAUACUAACACUGAGAGACGAAAGCGAGGGGAGCAAAUGGGAUUAGAUACCCUAGUAGUCC
rnacentral:rRNA from 1 species